rnacentral:rRNA from 1 species
UACGAAGGGGGCUAGCGUUGUUCGGAAUUACUGGGCGUAAAGCGCACGUAGGCGGAUAUUUAAGUCAGGGGUGAAAUCCCAGAGCUCAACUCUGGAACUGCCUUUGAUACUGGGUAUCUUGAGUAUGGAAGAGGUGAGUGGAAUUCCGAGUGUAGAGGUGAAAUUCGUAGAUAUUCGGAGGAACACCAGUGGCGAAGGCGGCUCACUGGUCCAUUACUGACGCUGAGGCGCGAAAGCGUGGGGAGCAAACAGG